UACGGAAGGUGCAAGCGUUGUUCGGAAUGACUGGGCGUAAAGGGCGCGUAGGCGGGUUUGUAAGUCAGUUGUGAAAUCCCUGGGCUUAACCUAGGAACAGCAAUUGAAACUGCAAGUCUUGAAUAUCUGAGAGGUUGGUGGAAUUCCAGGUGUAGGAGUGAAAUCCGUAGAUAUCUGGAGAAACAUCGGAGGCGAAGGCGGCCAACUGGCAGAAUAUUGACGCUGAGGCGCGAAAGUGCGGGGAGCAAACAGG
rnacentral:rRNA from 1 species